rnacentral:rRNA from 1 species
UACGUAGGGGGCAAGCGUUGUCCGGAUUUAUUGGGCGUAAAGAGCGUGUAGGCGGCCGUACAGGUCAGCUGUGAAAACUCGAGGCUCAACCUCGAGACGUCGGUUGAAACCGUACGGCUAGAGUCCGGAAGAGGAGAGUGGAAUUCCCGGUGUAGCGGUGAAAUGCGCAGAUAUCGGGAAGAGCACCCGUGGCGAAGGCGGCUCUCUGGGACGGUACUGACGCUGAGACGCGAAAGCGUGGGGAGCGAACAGG